CGCGUGCAACCUGUCCCGACUCUAGCCGCCUCUUCAGCUCGCCAUGGAUCCCAACUGCUCCUGCGCCGCCGGUGACUCCUGCACCUGCGCCGGCUCCUGCAAAUGCAAAGAGUGCAAAUGCACCUCCUGCAAGAAAAGUAAGCUGCUGCUCCUGCUGCCCUGUGGGCUGUGCCAAGUGUGCCCAGGGCUGCAUCUGCAAAGGGGCGUCGGACAAGUGCAGCUGCUGCGCCUGAUGCUGGGACAGCCCCGCUCCCAGAUGUAAAGAACGCGACUUCCACAAACCUGGAUUUUUUAUGUACAACCCUGACCGUGACCGUUUGCUAUAUUCCUUUUUCUAUGAAAUAAUGUGAAUGAUAAUAAAACAGCUUUGACUUG
rnacentral:lncRNA from 1 species